AGGGUGGUUAUUUAACUUGGGCUUCAUCUAUCUGCAAACUGAUGUGUCCCCCUAUAAUAUGUGGACAUUUGUUUAUGGUCUAUCAUAAAACAGCCUGAAGCUUGGCUGUACAUCAUGAUGAAACACAACCUCUACAAAACCACAGAAGGACUGGAGAGAAGACUCAGUAGCACUGGGGGAAAGAAACAGGAGAAUCAAAGAAGCUUGUUGGCCAACUGAUCUAGACAAAACUGCAAGUUUCAAAUUCAGUGAGAUACCCUGUCUCAAAAAAGGAAUAUAGAGGAACUAUUGAGAAAUAUAUCCUGACAUCAACUCAAGACU